rnacentral:rRNA from 1 species
GACGAACGCUGGCGGCGUGCUUAACACAUGCAAGUCGAACGGAAAGGCCCUGCUUUUGUUGGUUGCUCGAUUGGCGAACGGGUGAGUAACACGUGAGUAACCUGCCCUUGACUUUGGGAUAACUUCAGGAAACUGGGGCUAUUACCGGAUAGGAGCUCCUGCUGCAUGGUGUGGGUUGGAAAGUUUCGGCGGUUGGGGAUGGACUCGCGGCUUAUCAGCUUGUUAGUGUGGUAGUGGCUUACCAAGGCUUUGACGGGUAGCCGGCAUGAGAGGGUGACCGGCGACAUGGGGACUGAGAUACGGACCAGACUCCUACGGGAGGCAGCAGGGGGGAAUAUUGCACAAUGGGCGGAAGCCUGAGGCAGAAACGCCGCGUGCGGGAUGCCGGCUUACUGGUGGUAAACAGCUUUGGCAUGUGACGAAGCGUGAGUGACGGUAAUGGGUAAAGAAGCACCGGCUAACUACGUG